rnacentral:rRNA from 1 species
AGUGGACGCUGGCGGUAGGCCUAACACAUGCAAGUCGAACGGCAGCACAGUAAGAGCUUGCUCUUACGGGUGGCGAGUGGCGGACGGGUGAGGCAUACAUCGGAAUCUACUUUUUCGUGGGGGAUAACGUAGGGAAACUUACGCUAAUACCGCAUACGACCUACGGGUGAAAGCAGGGGAUCUUCGGACCUUGCGCGAUUGAAUGAGCCGAUGUCGGAUUAGCUAGUUGGCGGGGUAAAGGCCCACCAAGGCGACGAUCCGUAGCUGGUCUGAGAGGAUGAUCAGCCACACUGGAACUGAGACACGGUCCAGACUCCUACGGGAGGCAGCAGUGGGGAAUAUUGGACAAUGGGCGCAAGCCUGAUCCAGCCAUACCGCGUGGGUGAAGAAGGCCUUCGGGUUGUAAAGCCCUUUUGUUGGGAAAGAAAAGCAGCAGGUUAAUACCCCGCUGUUCUGACGGUACCCAAAGAAUAAGCACCGGCUAACUUCGUG